CAAUGAAAGAAUGGUAAUGUGUACAUAAAUUGAUUUGGGUCUCUAGACUUGCCCUCUCUGAUGCCAUUCAGCUUUGAUUUGGGGGCAUGGUUGCGUAGCAAAACA